GAGGCCGUGGAACUGGAGCAGGUAGGACUGCAGGCCACUCUGCGUGCGCGCCCAGCUCUCGGGCUCCUGCAAGGGCUGCAGCUGAAUGAUCGUGGUGUUGGUGUCUGGGCCUUCCAGCACGUGCGUUAGGUGUCCCCCCAGCGACGCGUUGCCCUGGUACCACACGUGAUAGGGGUCGCGGAAGUAGGAGAUCUGGAGCAUAUGAAGUCUUUGGAGGCCUGCGGGCAGAGUCAGCUUCAGCCUGGGCCGGCGUGGGAGGGGGCGGCGGGCAGCGGAAGAUAAUAACCCCCUACCUCGAGGCUGGCCGCCCGCCUUCUCGACCCUUCAUAAACUAUAAUGUGCCCUCCCACCGCUUCUCCCGUUUGACGCUGACAGUAACUCUGCCAGGAGGACAGGACAGGGAUUAUUAUCUCCGUUUUACAGAUGAGGAAACUGAGGCCUGCAGUGGAAGAGACACUCCUUUCUGCCUCCUUUUUCACCCUCGGCUCUCCCUCCCCCCGUUUCCUGUUAACCAACGGAACAAAUGGUUAACAAAUCCUGACCUGAAUAAAAUUCCAAUUCCAUC
ensembl:lncRNA novel transcript, antisense to PROCR